rnacentral:rRNA from 1 species
GACGAACGCUGGCGGCGUGCUUAACACAUGCAAGUCGAACGGAAAGGCCCUGCUUUUGUGGGGUGCUCGAGUGGCGAACGGGUGAGUAACACGUGAGUAACCUGCCCUUGACUUUGGGAUAACUUCAGGAAACUGGGGCUAAUACCGGAUAGGAGCUCCUGCUGCAUGGUGGGGGUUGGAAAGUUUCGGCGGUUGGGGAUGGACUCGCGGCUUAUCAGCUUGUUGGUGGGGUAGUGGCUUACCAAGGCUUUGACGGGUAGCCGGCCUGAGAGGGUGACCGGCCCCAUUGGGCUUGGGUUACGGCCCGGCCCCCUCGGGGGGGAGGAGGUGGGGAUAAUUGCACAAGGGGCGGAGGCCUAAUGCACCACCGCGGCGUGCGGGAGGCGGCCUUCGGGUUGUAAACCGCUUUCGCCUGUGACGAAGCGUGAGUGACGGUAAUGGGUAAAGAAGCACCGGCUAACUACGUG